rnacentral:rRNA from 1 species
CGGUAAUACGUAGGGUGCAGGUGUUAAUCGGAAUUACUGGGCGUAAAGCGUGCGCAGGCGGUUUGCUAAGACAGGUGUGAAAUCCCCGGGCUUAACCUGGGAAUUGCGCUUGUAACUGGCAAGCUAGAGUGUGGCAGAGGGGGAUGGAAUUUCACGUGUAGCAGUGAAAUGCGUAGAUAUGUGGAGGAACAUUGAUGGCGAAGGCAGUCCCCUGGGUUAACACUGACGCUCAGGCACGAAAGCGUGGGGAGCAAACAGGAUUAGAUACCCUGGUAGUCCACGCCCUAAACUAUGUCAACUAGUUGUCAGGGAAGAGAUUCCUUGGUAACGAAGCUAACGCGUGAAGUUGACCGCCUGGGGAGUACGGCCGCAAGGUUAAA